AGCAGUCGCCGCGGUAAAACGAGGGGGGCAAGCGUUGUUCGGAAUUAUUGGGCGUAAAGGGCGCGUAGGCGGUUUGGCAAGUUUGGUGUGAAAUCUUCGGGCUCAACUCGAAGUCUGCAUCGAAAACUGCCGGGCUUGAGUAUGGGAGAGGUGAGUGGAAUUUCCGGUGUAGCGGUGAAAUGCGUAGAUAUCGGAAGGAACACCUGUGGCGAAAGCGGCUCACUGGACCAUUACUGACGCUGAGGCGCGAAAGCUAGGGGAGCAAACAGGAUUAGAUACCCGCGUAGUCCCUGUCUCUUAUAC
rnacentral:rRNA from 1 species